UGGAGAUAGCUGGUUCUCUCCGAAAUAGCUUUAGGGCUAGCCUCAAGUGAUGAUUAUUGGAGGUAGAGCACUGUUUGGACGAGGGGCCCCUCUCGGGUUACCGAAUUCAGACAAACUCCGAAUGCCAAUUAAUUUAACUUGGGAGUCAGAACAUGGGUGAUAAGGUCCGUGUUCGAAAGGGAAACAGCCCAGACCACCAGCUAAGGUCCCAAAAUAUAUGUUAAGUGGAAAAGGAUGUGGCGUUGCCCAGACAACUAGGAUGUUGGCUUAGAAGCAGCCAUCAUUUAAAGAGUGCGUAAUAGCUCACUAGUCGAGUGACACUGCGCCGAAAAUGUACCGGGGCUAAACAUAUUACCGAAGCUGUGGAUUGUCCUUUGGACAAUGGUAGGAGAGCGUUCUAAGGGCGUUGAAGCAUGAUCGUAAGGACAUGUGGAGCGCUUAGAAGUGAGAAUGCCGGUGUGAGUAGCGAAAGACGGGUGAGAAUCCCGUCCACCGAUUGACUAAGGUUUCCAGAGGAAGGCUCGUCCGCUCUGGGUUAGUCGGGUCCUAAGCUGAGGCCGACAGGCGUAGGCGAUGGAUAACAGGUUGAUAUUCCUGUACCACCUAUAAUCGUUUUAAUCGAUGGGGGGACGCAGUAGGAUAGGCGAAGCGUGCGAUUGGAUUGCACGUCUAAGCAGUAAGGCUGAGUAUUAGGCAAAUCCGGUACUCGUUAAGGCUGAGCUGUGAUGGGGAGAAGACAUUGUGUCUUCGAGUCGUUGAUUUCACACUGCCGAGAAAAGCCUCUAGAUAGAAAAUAGGUGCCCGUACCGCAAACCGACACAGGUAGUCAAGAUGAGAAUUCUAAGGUGAGCGAGCGAACUCUCGUUAAGGAACUCGGCAAAAUGACCCCGUAACUUCGGGAGAAGGGGUGCUCUUUAGGGUUAACGCCCAGAAGAGCCGCAGUGAAUAGGCCCAAGCGACUGUUUAUCAAAAACACAGGUCUCUGCUAAACCGUAAGGUGAUGUAUAGGGGCUGACGCCUGCCCGGUGCUGGAAGGUUAAGAGGAGUGGUUAGCUUCUGCGAAGCUACGAAUCGAAGCCCCAGUAAACGGCGGCCGUAACUAUAACGGUCCUAAGGUAGCGAAAUUCCUUGUCGGGUAAGUUCCGACCCGCACGAAAGGCGUAACGAUUUGGGCACUGUCUCAACGAGAGACUCGGUGAAAUCAUAGUACCUGUGAAGAUGCAGGUUACCCGCGACAGGACGGAAAGACCCCGUGGAGCUUUACUGUAGCCUGAUAUUGAAAUUCGGCACAGCUUGUACAGGAUAGGUAGGAGCCUUUGAAACGUGAGCGCUAGCUUACGUGGAGGCGCUGGUGGGAUACUACCCUAGCUGUGUUGGCUUUCUAACCCGCACCACUUAUCGUGGUGGGAGACAGUGUCAGGCGGGCAGUUUGACUGGGGCGGUCGCCUCCUAAAAGGUAACGGAGGCGCUCAAAGGUUCCCUCAGAAUGGUUGGAAAUCAUUCAUAGAGUGUAAAGGCAUAAGGGAGCUUGACUGCGAGACCUACAAGUCGAGCAGGGUCGAAAGACGGACUUAGUGAUCCGGUGGUUCCGCAUGGAAGGGCCAUCGCUCAACGGAUAAAAGCUACCCCGGGGAUAACAGGCUUAUCUCCCCCAAGAGUUCACAUCGACGGGGAGGUUUGGCACCUCGAUGUCGGCUCAUCGCAUCCUGGGGCUGUAGUCGGUCCCAAGGGUUGGGCUGUUCGCCCAUUAAAGCGGUACGCGAGCUGGGUUCAGAACGUCGUGAGACAGUUCGGUCCCUAUCCGUCGUGGGCGUAGGAAA
rnacentral:rRNA from 1 species